rnacentral:lncRNA from 1 species
GCUGUUGAAUCCUUCCUUCUUCGGUAGGCAACCAAGCGAUUUUUUGAAGAGAUAUGUACAUGCUGUAAUACUCCCAAUGUUGUUUUGAGCAAUCGACCAUAAAUAUAUCACCAUACAAACCUUUAUCACUGAAUCAGCACCAUGAAAAUCCUGCAGAUCUGUAAUCCCGGACAUGAUGAACACACAAAAUCCAAAUAAAAACCUAACU